CGGGAAUUUUGGGCAAUGGGCGAAAGCCUGACCCAGCAACGCCGCGUGAAGGAUGAAAUCCCUCGGGAUGUAAACUUCGCAAGAACGGGAAGAAUAAGUUUGUGUUAAUACCACAAGCGAUGACGGUACUGUUUGUAAGCCCCGGCUAACUCCGUGCCAGCAGCCGCGGUAAUACGGAGGGGGCUAGCGUUGUUCGGAAUUACUGGGCGUAAAGCGCACGUAGGCGGCUUUGUAAGUUAGAGGUGAAAGCCCGGGGCUCAACUCCGGAAUUGCCUUUAAGACUGCAUCGCUUGAAUCAUGGAGAGGUGAGUGGAAUUCCGAGUGUAGAGGUGAAAUUCGUAGAUAUUCGGAAGAACACCAGUGGCGAAGGCGACUCACUGGACAUGUAUUGACGCUGAGGUGCGAAAGCGUGGGGAGCAAAC
rnacentral:rRNA from 1 species